rnacentral:lncRNA from 1 species
GGGGACCUUAUAUUAUUCAUGAUCAGGUGCUGGGUGGUGAGUCAUAGAGGGUUAUUAUGGAUUCUGAGGGUAUUCUAAGGUAUGAUGGCUGCAUUUUGUUUUGAGGGUUAGUGAAUUGAUUUAAUUGAUAUUGCAUGAGGUUUAUAUCUCUAGAUACCCUAUUCAACAUGGGAAAGAAAAACUGUAUAGGUAUUUGAGGAAGCACUACUGGUGAAGUAUCAUGAACAGAGAUGCAG